rnacentral:rRNA from 1 species
UACGAAGGGGGCUAGCGUUGUUCGGAUUUACUGGGCGUAAAGCGCACGUAGGCGGAUCGUUAAGUCGGGGGUGAAAUCCUGGAGCUCAACUCCAGAACUGCCUUCGAUACUGGCGAUCUUGAGUCCGGAAGAGGUGAGUGGAAUUCCUAGUGUAGAGGUGGAAUUCGUAGAUAUUAGGAAGAACACCAGUGGCGAAGGCGGCUCACUGGUCCGGUACUGACGCUGAGGCGCGAAAGCGUGGGGAGCAAACGGG